UGGGGAAUAUUGCACAAUGGGCGCAAGCCUGAUGCAGCCAUGCCGCGUGUGUGAAGAAGGCCUUCGGGUUGUAAAGCACUUUCAGCGGGGAGGAAGGCGGUGAGGUUAAUAACCUCAUCGAUUGACGUUACCCGCAGAAGAAGCACCGGCUAACUCCGUGCCAGCAGCCGCGGUAAUACGGAGGGUGCAAGCGUUAAUCGGAAUUACUGGGCGUAAAGCGCACGCAGGCGGUCUGUCAAGUCGGAUGUGAAAUCCCCGGGCUCAACCUGGGAACUGCAUUCGAAACUGGCAGGCUAGAGUCUUGUAGAGGGGGGUAGAAUUCCAGGUGUAGCGGUGAAAUGCGUAGAGAUAUGGAGGAAUACCGGUGGCGAAGGCGGCCCCCUGGACAAAGACUGACGCUCAGGUGCGAAAGCGUGGGGAGCAAACAGG
rnacentral:rRNA from 1 species